CUCCCAGCUUCCUCUUACUGCCCUAAUAUCCAAUUUCUCCGUCCGGGGGCUGCUUCGCCUCCUCGUUGCUCAACACACCGCGUGAAUUCCCUCUAAUCUGGUCGUAUCGUUAGCGAGGUUUCCUCUCUCCACCUUCCUCGAAGCCAGAGAGAGAGAGAGAGAGAGAGAGAGAGAGAGACAGCGAGGAGAGCAAUGAAGGAAUUCCAGGUGAACGGGAGUACUUUCUCCCUCGCCCUCUUCACCGACGUCACAAACAGCAAGGAGCUUCUUGAUUCUAUGCAGGCCGGAAAGCUACAACCAGAAGUAGCACUUCUCAAUGCAUCACUAAUACCAGAUGUCUUCCCUGUUCUAGCAGCAGCGCAUAAAGCACUCAUUGCCAAAUCAAGGGAAUCACUGACGACGCAUACUCUUCAUUCAGAACUAGUUUAUAGUUAUUCUGGAUCUAAGCAUAUAACGGAGUCCUUGAAGAGGUGUGGAAUUUCUGAUGAUACAACCUACAUUCUUGCAGCUCGUUUUGGUGCUUCUCAUGAUGAGAUGAAGGAUAUUGAGAAGCUCAUAUGUGGGAAAGAGAUUGAUUUGGAAGCAUUGGGAGGUGGAGCUCACCAUGCACAGAUCCAAAAGCACUACAAAAUAUCCGCACAGGAAUUGGCAAUAUCUUCCCUGGCUGAUGCAAUCACCUGCAGGAUUGCAGCUCGAGAUGCCCUAUGAGAAACUUCGAGGAUCUACAUAUAACCAGUGCUAUCUAUGAAUGGCUUACAGAAAUUACAUUCAUUUCAUGGAACCAAAGAAUCAGCAACAUUAUGUGGACUGCCAAAGUCCGGAAUCAUAGUGAGAUUCCCUAUCCAAAUAUUAGAAGUUUAAGGUUGAACAGCUGCAAGCUUUCUAGCCACUAGGAUUGCCCAAGUUCGGAUCGAGAAAGUGGAGAGAAGGCUGGCACCGUAGAAAGAUAAAUGCUUGCAGACGGGAGAGGAGAUUGGUGGUCUCAGACCGCCCUUCAUUUUAUUAUUUUCCUGUUUUCAGAGCGCCGAUGUGGGCGAUCAGCGGAUGCGACCUCAUUGCUUUGCAAACAAAGAAGGAAGUUUGGAGGAAGCGCAUUCAAGGAGCUUACCACAUAAUAAGAAAGAUGGGACCAAGAACGUAGGAAAUUCUGCCGAGGCUUAUUGAGAGUCUGUUCAGAUUGUUCUCUUGAUUUACCUUACUGUUGUACCUAUGUAACCUAUCUCCUUUGUAUUUUUAUCUCUCUUCUUUUAUUUAUAAAAAUAACGGGGGGUCUCACUCUCAUCUGAAACCUCCUUACCUGAAAAGUUGCAAAAGAAGAAGAAGAAGAAGAAGAAGAAGAAGAAAAAAAACAGUUCUGCAACAUGACAUCGAGAGAUCCCAUCUUGGCAAUCUUAUUCUGUUGCUGCCGAUGGGCCUGCCCUGAAUCUGGCUUCAUGGUGGGUUGUUGCAGUGGAUUCUCUGGGUUUGGCCUUUCAUUGGAACCAUACCGGCAGCAAUCUACCAUCGAACUGUACGUGAUCGGACCGUGCGCUUAAGAUCCAAAGCCUGACAAAGAGUCAUGCCAUCAUCCUGCUGAGGAUGGAACAUCUCUGCAGUUGACACGAUGAUGAGAGUCCCGGCCUUAAUUUUUCCUCUCUCUCUCUCUCCCUCCCCACAACCCUACAUCUAAAUGCUGGUGGGCCUGCCUCUGUUUUGUCAUUUCAUUUCUUGCAGUACUCUGCAUGCUUUAGCAAUCGCACCCAUUUUUCUCUUUCUGUUCCAACCACCUACCUGCUGCAAUAAUAACUUGUGGAUAAAU